GGGUCAGUAGGUUGGUCGUGCCACCGGUACGUACUGCUCUCACUGAUUCCUCCUUCCUGAAGAACCGUAAUGCCAUUAAUUUGGUGCUGCGGGGAAACAGGACUGUUACUUUGAAAAAAUUAGAGUGUUUAAAGCAAGCUAACGCUUGAAUACAUUAGCAUGGAAUAAUGAAAUAGGACGAUCGAUCCUAUUUUGUUGGUUUCUAGGAUUGACGUA
rnacentral:rRNA from 1 species